CCUACGGGUGGCAGCAGUGGGGAAUAUUGCACAAUGGGGGAAACCCUGAUGCAGCGACGCCGCGUGAAGGAAGAAGUAUUUCGGUAUGUAAACUUCUAUCAGCAGGGAAGAAAAUGACGGUACCUAACCAAGAAUCCCCUGCUAACUACGUCCCAGCAGCCGCGGUAAUACGUAGGGGGCAAGCGUUAUCCGGUUUUACUGGGUGUAAAGUGAGCGGAGGCGGUUUAGCAAGUCAGAAGUGAAAGCCCGGGGCUCAACGCCGGGACUGCUUUUGAAACUGUUGAACUAGAUUGCGUGAGAGGUUAGUGGAAUUCCAGGUGUAGCAGAGAAAUGCGUAGAUAUUAGGAGGAACACCAGUGGCGAAGGCGACUUACUGGAAUGUAAAUGACGCUGAGGCUCGAAAGCGUGGGGAGCAAACAGGAUUAGAUACCCCGGUAGUC
rnacentral:rRNA from 1 species